GAUGAACGCUAGCGGCAGGCUUAACACAUGCAAGUCGAGGGGUAUUGGUUUUCGGACCAAGAGACCGGCGCACGGGUGCGUAACGCGUAUGCAAUCUACCUUUUGCAGAGGGAUAGCCCCAGAGAAAUUUGGAUUAAUACCUCAUAGUAUAGUACUUUGGCAUCAAGGAACUAUUAAAGUCACAACGGCAAAGAUGAGCAUGCGUCCCAUUAGCUAGUUGGUAAGGUAACGGCUUACCAAGGCUACGAUGGGUAGGGGUCCUGAGAGGGAGAUCCCCCACACUGGUACUGAGACACGGACCAGACUCCUACGGGAGGCAGCAGUGAGGAAUAUUGGACAAUGGGCGCAAGCCUGAUCCAGCCAUGCCGCGUGCAGGAUGACGGUCCUAUGGAUUGAACUGCUUUUAUACAGGAAGAAACACUCCGACGUGUCGGAGCUUGACGGUACUGUAAGAAUAAGGAUCGGCUAACUCCGUGCCAGCAGCCG
rnacentral:rRNA from 1 species